GUGAGGAAUAUUGGUCAAUGGGCGGGAGCCUGAACCAGCCAAGUCGCGUGAAGGAAGAAGGAUCUAUGGUUCGUAAACUUCUUUUGCAGGGGGAUAAAGUGCGGGACGUGUCCUGUUUUGUAUGUACCCUGAGAAUAAGGAUCGGCUAACUCCGUGCCAGCAGCCGCGGUAAUACGGAGGAUCCGAGCGUUAUCCGGAUUUAUUGGGUUUAAAGGGUGCGUAGGUGGUUUGAUAAGUCAGCGGUGAAAGUUUGCAGCUUAACUGUAAAAAUGCCGUUGAAACUGUCGGACUUGAGUGUAAAUGAGGUAGGCGGAAUGCGUGGUGUAGCGGUGAAAUGCAUAGAUAUCACGCAGAACUCCGAUUGCGAAGGCAGCUUACUAAGCUACAACUGACACUGAAGCACGAAAGCGUGGGGAUCAAACAGGAUUAGAAACCCUUGUAGUCC
rnacentral:rRNA from 1 species